AACGAACGCUGGCGGCAGGCUUAACACAUGCAAGUCGAACGGGUGUAGCAAUACAUCAGUGGCAGACGGGUGAGUAACACGUGGGAACCUUCCUAGGGGUACGGAACAACUCAGGGAAACUUGAGCUAAUACCGUAUACGUCCGUAAGGAGAAAGAUUCAUCGCCCCUAGACGGGCCCGCGUCGGAUUAGGUAGUUGGUGGGGUAACGGCCUACCAAGCCUACGAUCCGUAGCUGAUCUGAGAGGANGAUCAGCCACACUGGGACUGAGACACGGCCCAGACUCCUACGGGAGCAGCAGGUGGGGAAUCUUGGACAAUGGGCGCAAGCCUGAUCCAGCCAUGCCGCGUGAGUGAAGAAGGCCUUAGGGUU
rnacentral:rRNA from 1 species